rnacentral:rRNA from 1 species
CAAUAGCGUAUAUUAAAGUUGUUGCGGUUAAAAAGCUCGUAGUUGGAUUUCUGCCGAGGACGACCGGUCCGCCCUCUGGGUGUGUAUCUGGUUUGGCCUGGGCAUCUUCUUGGAGAACGUAGCUGCACUUGACUGUGUGGUGCGGUGUCCAGGACUUUUACUUUGAGGAAAUUAGAGUGUUUCAAGCAGGCACACGCCUUGAAUACAUUAGCAUGGAAUAAUAAGAUACGACUUGUGUGGUCUAUUUUGUUGGUUUGCACACGCAAGUAAUGAUUAAUAGGGACAGUUGGGGGUAUUCAUAUUUCAGCGUCAGAGGUGAAAUUCUUGGAUCGCUGAAAGAUGAGCUUAGGCGAAAGCAUUUACCAUGGAUGUUUUCAUUAA